UACGAUUCCUUAGAGGCGUGCUGUAGCGGGUGAACUGUGUUAAAGAAAAACUUAAAACAGCAAGGAAGACUUUAUUUAAGACUAUUGUGGAGCAAAACCAGAAGUCUGUUCUAAAAAGAGGCUGAUGAGCUGCCUGGAGGCAAGGGAAGAGCCCUAUAACCCUUCUGAGCCUGGGGUUGUGUCUGGAAGAACGUGGUCCUGGUAGAUUUUCAACUAAGAAAUGAGGAUUCUUGUCCAGAAGGAAGAAAUAGUCCUGGAAGUGUCUGGAAAAGAGG